AGCGAACGCUGGCGGCAGGCCUAACACAUGCAAGUCGAACGGAUCCUUCGGGAUUAGUGGCGGACGGGUGAGUAACACGUGGGAACGUGCCCUUUGGUUCGGAACAACUCAGGGAAACUUGAGCUAAUACCGGAUGUGCCCUUCGGGGGAAAGGAUUUAUCGCCAUUGGAGCGGCCCGCGUCUGAUUAGCUAGUUGGUGGGGUAAAGGCCCACCAAGGCGACGAUCAGUAGCUGGUCUGAGAGGAUGAUCAGCCACAUUGGGACUGAGACACGGCCCAAACUCCUACGGGAGGCAGCAGUGGGGAAUCUUGCGCAAUGGGCGAAAGCCUGACGCAGCCAUGCCGCGUGAAUGAUGAAGGUCUUAGGAUUGUAAAAUUCUUUCACCGGGGACGAUAAUGACGGUACCCGGAGAAGAAGCCCCGGCUAACUUCGUGCCAGCCGCCGCAGUAAC
rnacentral:rRNA from 1 species